rnacentral:rRNA from 1 species
GACGAACGCUGGCGGCGUGCCUAAUACAUGCAAGUUGAGCGAUGAAGAUUGGUGCUUGCACCAAUUUGAAGAGCAGCGAACGGGUGAGUAACGCGUGGGGAAUCUGCCUUUGAGCGGGGGACAACAUUUGGAAACGAAUGCUAAUACCGCAUAAUAACUUUAAACAUAAGUUUUAAGUUUGAAAGAUGCAAUUGCAUCACUCAAAGAUGAUCCCGCGUUGUAUUAGCUAGUUGGUGAGGUAAAGGCUCACCAAGGCGAUGAUACAUAGCCGACCUGAGAGGGUGAUCGGCCACAUUGGGACUGAGACACGGCCCAAACGCCUACGGGAGGCAGCAGUAGGGAAUCUUCGGCAAUGGACGAAAGUCUGACCGAGCAACGCCGCGUGAGUGAAGAAGGUUUUCGGAUCGUAAAACUCUGUUGGUAGAGAAGAACGUUGGUGAGAGUGGAAAGCGCAUCAAGUGACGGUAACUACCCAGAAAGGGACGGCUAACUACGUG